ACGCUCGACACCUACGGAGGCAGCAGUUGGGAAUAUUGGACAAUGGAGGAAACUCUGAUCCAGUGACGCCGCGUGAAGGAAGAAGGUCUUCGGAUUGUAAACUUAUUUUGUCAGGGAAGAAAAAAUGACUGUACCUGAAGAAAAAGCACCGGCUAACUACGUGCAAGCAGCCGCGGUAAUCUGAGCGGGCUGGCAAGGC
rnacentral:rRNA from 1 species